rnacentral:pre_miRNA from 1 species
AUAGGCAUCACCUGGGCAUCUGAUUUAAAUAAAGAUUCUGACUCAGUGGGCCUGGGGUCAGCCUGAGAGUCUUAAUUUCUAAUAAGCUCCCAGGUGAUGCUGAU